rnacentral:rRNA from 1 species
GACAGAGGGUGCAAACGUUGUUCGGAAUUACUGGGCGUAAAGCGCGUGUAGGCUGCUUCAUAAGUCGGGUGUGAAAGCCCUGGGCUCAACCUAGGAAGUGCACUCGAAACUGCGAAGCUUGAGUCCUGGAGAGGAAGGCGGAAUUCUCGGUGUAGAGGUGAAAUUCGUAGAUAUCGAGAGGAACACCGGUGGCGAAGGCGGCUGACUGGUCCGGUUCUGACGCUGAGGCGCGAAAGCGUGGGGAGCAAACAGG